AAAAAACCAAAACAAAAGCCACAAAACAAACAAACAAAUAUUAAAAAAAAACACAAAUCAAACCAAAACCCAACAAAACCUUACAUUUAUAUAUAUAUUACAGUAAAAACAUACAUUUAUUACAAUUUACUUCCCAAGCAUGGAGUUUAAUCUGCAAGCUUGCCACCGUCCACAGAAGAAAUAUAAUAUUGGUAAGUGACCUAUGCUCUUAUGUGGCCUGUACUGUUAAGUGCCUUAGUUACCUUGUGACCUCAUGUGGAACAAAAAACUGUCUUCUUUUGAAAAUGUAGAGGUGGUUUUUUUGUUGUUGUUUGCUUGUUCUUUUUUUAUUUGAGAACAAAAAAAUAUGUGUCUUUUAUAAUUUUGUACCAGAAGGGGAAAGGAAAAAAAAUAAUAUUUGAGACCUAAAAAUAGUCUUUAAAUAUAUCAUUCAAUUUGUCUAAAGUUCAUUGUUGAAUUUCAUUAAAACAUUAAAUAGCAUUAUAUAUAGAUAUUUUUUAAAAAUUAAAUAAUCUAUCUUUUGACAAGAACAGUUCAGCCAAAAUAUAUGUUAUCAGUUCUACCAUUUGGAUUGAUAUUCCUUUAAUACCCCAGAUGGAUGAUUACUUUCCUCUCUAAUUAUUAAAAAGUUUACAUAUCUAGUGAAGAAAAAAACAUCUAUAUUUAAUACGUGUUACAGUGUCUGAUUCCAGGCUAGAAAAUACACGGCUGAGGCCUACUAUAUCCUGAUAUUGCCUAUAAAAUUCUAGUUAUUUUGGGAUAGGACAGAACAGGUAAAUACACAAUUUUUUUUUUUUUUUCAAAAUCAGUUAUCCCUUUUUAGAAAAGCAGAGAAGAAAAGUUUUCUCCCACCAGAGCUGACAAAAUAGGUGUGAGAUGCCAUAGCAGCAAUCUUUAUUUUAAAGAGAUGGAAGUUCACCAUAGAUGCUAUGGCAAUAAUCCCUACUGUGAUAUAAAAAAGAAAAAGAAAAUCCACCUAAAACCAGCUGAAUCAACUCAACUCUGCUGGAACUGUCCCAGAUUGAUGAUGCUUUUGUGGGGCUGGGCUUGUUGGGCUGGGUUUUGCAGCUCUGGCUGCAAAGGAUGGGUUUUGCUUGGACAUCCCAACCCUGCCUCUCCCUUUCACCAAACACAGGGAGAGCCUUAAUGGGUCUGGCUGAGCUGUGUGCAAGCAGCUUAAAAAAGACAAGGAGAUACUGGAGAGGGUCCAGAAGAGGCCAUGUAGAUGAUGAGAUGUCUGGAGCAUCUCUCCUGUGAGGUAGGAUUUCCUGCACACUGGAGCUGAACUGGGCCUGUGAGCUGAGCCAUGGACCUCUCCCAUCACCAGCAUUGAAUAAAGUGCCUUUGGUGCCCUCCUUGGCAGUGCUCAGUGCUCUGGUUACCUGGGCCUUCUCCUUCAGAGCAACUUCUGUCCUUGAAGAAUACGGUGGAUAAGAAGGGGCCACACUUUACACAGAUUUUUAGGAGUCAGAGCAUCCAUUCCAGCCAUGGAAAAUGUAGAUCCACGUCUCCUCUCUGCUGAGGAUUUCAAAUAUUCAUCUAUGUCUGGUGGACUGACUUAACCACUGAAUACAGGCAGGCUAAGGGAGGAAAGGGGAGGAAGAAGAUAGAAUGAAAAUGUUGGAUUUUGAUUCCCAAAUCCUGUGCUCUGCCUGUGCUGUUUUGGCUUCUAGGCACAGGCACUAAUGACCAGAUUUUUAGGAUGUACUGGGGUGGAUAUAAAAGUACUUAAGCACCUGCCUUCCAGCUGUGAAUCUGGUUCACAAAUUCACAGUAAUUUUCGGGUCUGAAAGCAGGAUAAAUCCUUGCCUUCCUAUCCAAAACUCUGUAAGGCCAGGAGGACUUGCUCCAGAGCUCCUUUUCAAGUGUCCAGCUCAGGGAAGAACACAUCACCCACCUGCUGUGUUGGUAAAUACCAAAUCCCUGCAGGAAUUCUGGCAUGUUGUUGGGCCGCAGCCAAGGUUGCUAGCACCCAUUUUUAAGAAUUACUGGUGCCUUUGUGUAGCACAGGCUGCUUUCUCCCCAGGCAUGUACGUGCACAAGCACACAUGGGCUCUAAAGCUCGUGCUGGUGUGUUGGAGACUGCCUGAGUUUUUAAGUUUAUUUUUCCUGAGAUGAAAGCUAUUCCAGAAAGUCUCUCACUCUCAGCAAAUCCAAGACCAAGGCUGGGAGCCAUAAGAAUUAGCUGCAGGUGCUUAGGGUUUAGAAACUGCUGAAGGGACGAAAGACCAAGGUGUUGGCUCCAGUGGGUUUGUUUCAGCUAUUCCAAAGAAGACAUCCACUCUGCUUAACCACUCCAAACUACCAUUUAGAUUGAAAGUGGAAUCUGAACAGGCUUCUCUGGAGCAUUCAGAGCUGCAUCCCACAGAUUGUCUGCACACAACGUUUCUGCACUGCUCAGACUCUUUGAUCUCUACUGGAGAGCCCCCAGUGCCCUGCAGAGCAUCACCAGGAGUUGUUUCCCCAGGAGAUGCUGAAAGAGGAGAGGGGGGUGUGGCUGUAGGACACGAAAUAAAAUGACGUGCACACUGGAACUUCCAAGUGUUACUUAACAGGCUGAGGAACCCAUGAUUCAGGAACUCAGGGAAUCUUCUCAGAAAACAAAAGUAUCCCAGAUGCUAACACACCUGGUAACACAUUCAUAGAGCUGGCCUCUCUCUGCCACAUAGAGAGAAAAAUAAGGAAAAGAAGGGAAAUGGCUUGUUUGGAAACACACUGCAGGACAGCACAGGGCUGUGACAGUCCUGCUCCAUUGGUUGGGACCUGGAUCUGGCUUUGGAAAGAAGAAAUUAUCUCAGGAAAAAUAAAAAGAACCAAAAAAAACAGAGGAGAAGCGCCCUAUGACUCUUGCCUUUUCAUGCAAGAAGAGGUGUGAUGGAAAGAGAAACACUUUGCAGAAGCAUGAAAACAAAUCUACAAAAAUGUUGAUGGAGGCGACACGACUCAGCCUUUCACCUAAAACCUGAACAGUGCUUUGGAGGGUGUAGAAUUAAGGAGACCAACAGAACUUGAUCCCCUGCCACAGAUUCAAGCAGAUUAUUCAAUUCAAACAAAAAAAAGAAGAGGACAGAAGAGAAAGCCACAGUUUGGAGCUGAGGACUGUUUUUUAAGCAAAAGCAUACUGUGAUGCUGUCCAACUGACAUAACAUGGAACCUGUCCAUGGCAUAAAACCACAGUGCACCUGCUGAGACAAGAGACGAGAGGGAAGAAAGACCAGCAUACUGUGGCUGCCCUAUGCUGCAAAGGAAAAUUCUGGAGACUAAGUCAACAUUAGCUAGAUUUUUCUUUCUAUAUUUUAUAUACAUAUAAAUAUGUUUAUAUAUGCUGUUUAUAUUUACUGUCAAAUGCCAUGAACUGUCUGUAAUGCAGGCAAUGCUCCUUCCCUGAACACACCUGGAAGUGCCUGGGGUGUACUGGAAGUUUUACCAUUUGGUCAUUGUCUGAUGGGCACCAGAAAUUUUUGUCUGCUCAAAUUUGUAUCUGCUUAGAACUCCUGAUGGUGGUGGGCCAGGGAUGCUGCUGCUCAUGUCUCACUCUCCCUUUAGACAAAUCUUUGUUUGGGCUGCCAGAAUCCCAAAUUCCCAAGCACUAAUUUCACACAGAAAACAUUGAACAACCAACCACUUUAUCUUUUGUGCUUUUGCAUCCACCUGCUUCUUCCCCCUGUACUCUUCCUUUCAGUCCUAAAUGUAUCUUUCCCUCUGCUGGCUGUCAAACGUGUCUUAUACUCCAGCUGAAAGAGAAAAUCCCUUAAGCCACGAUGCCACAUGUUCAAUGCAAUCAAAAGGAGUUUGGCUUGUGUUAAUCUAGGUGUGCUAGAUCCUAUGCACCUGGGAGGAGAGUGUGGAUGUGCCAUAUUGAGAACCCAUACAUUACUUAUCUCUGAGCUGUAGCACAAGAGAAAUAAACAGCCAUAUGGCAAAUGAACUUCCUUUUUUAUUACUUUGUUUUAUUUGUUUCAAAAUAGCGCAGCGCCACAAAUCCAGAAUAUUAACAAUGCUCCAUCUGGAAAAUGGAAGGUUUUGCUGUUCUGCCAUCCCAAUUUUAGCUCUCCUGACAAACUGGAGUUGCUGUCCCUGCCUCUCUGCCUGGCACCUCAGGGAUUUGCCAAUAACCAGAGAGGUCAGUGAGAACAGAGCAUCUUCCUUUUGUCUUUGCUGGCCUCAUUAAAGACCCAGAUGCACAAUGCAAUACUUCUGAUAUGAAAUAAAAGGAAUGAGUUAAACCCAUUGUUUGGUGAUGUCCUUAUUCCAUGAUUUC